CAAGUCGAACGCGCAGCAUUCUGUAGCAAUACAGGAUGUGGGCGCGUGGCGAACGGGUGCGUAACACGUGGAUAACCUUCCUUCAGGUGGGGAAUAACCCAGCGAAAGUUGGGCUAAUACCGCAUCACAUUACGAGGGCACAUGCUCUUGUACUCAAAGCCGCAAGGCGCCAGAAGAGGGAUCCGCGGCCGAUUAGCUAGUUGGCGAGGUAAUGGCUCACCAAGGCAAUGAUCGGUAGCCGGACUGAGAGGUUGGCCGGCCACACUGGAACUGAGACACGGUCCAGACUCCUACGGGAGGCAGCAGUGGGGAAUCUUGCGCAAUGGGCGAAAGCCUGACGCAGCAACGCCGCGUGGGGGAUGAAGCUUCUCGGAGUGUAAACCCCUUUCGACCCGGAAGAAUGCCCGCAAGGGUUUGACGGUACGGGUAUAAGAAGCCCCGGCUAACUACGUGCCAGCAGCCGCGGUAAUACGUAGGGGGCCAGCGUUGCUCGGAAUUACUGGGCGUAAAGGGUCCGUAGGCGGUGUGGCAAGUCGGGAGUGAAAUCUCUGGGCUUAACUCAGAGGCUGCUUCCGAAACUGCCGUGCUAAAGUGUGAGGGAGGCGAGUGGAAUUGCGGGUGUAGCGGUGAAUGCGUAGAUAUCCGCAGGAACAUCCGAGGCGAAAGCGGCUCGCUGGAUCACAACUGACGCUGAGGGACGAAAGCUAGGGGAGCAAACAGGAUUAGAUACCCUGGUAGUCCUAGCCCUAACCAUCAGGACUUGGGGUUUGCCCUGUACGGGGCAAGUCCCGUANCUAA
rnacentral:rRNA from 1 species